CAUGUGCCGCUGCGGCCCCUUGCCCUCGCCCGAGCAUACCGCCGCCACCACCUCCACUAUAGCCACCGCCCACCUAGGGCACCCCUGUCAUGCCUGUUACAAUAUAAUAGUAUUUUAGUAUUUUUAUAGAUACAAUGAGGAUCAAUGUAUUCACUUUGACGAUGGCCAUGGCGCCACCUCGACUAAUCCAUCUUGCACACUAGAACA
rnacentral:lncRNA from 1 species